GAUGAACGCUAGCGGCAGGCUUAAUACAUGCAAGUCGAGGGGCAGCAUGAAUGUAGCAAUACAUUUGAUGGCGACCGGCAAACGGGUGCGGAACACGUACACAACCCUCCUAUAAGUGGGGAAUAGCCCAGAGAAAUUUGGAUUAAUACCCCGUAACAUAAUGAUGUGGCAUCACAUUAUUAUUAUAGCUUCGGCGCUUAUUGAUGGGUGUGCGGCUGAUUAGAUAGUUGGCGGGGUAACGGCCCACCAAGUCUACGAUCAGUAGCUGAUGUGAGAGCAUGAUCAGCCACACGGGCACUGAGACACGGGCCCGACUCCUACGGGAGGCAGCAGUAAGGAAUAUUGGUCAAUGGACGCAAGUCUGAACCAGCCAUGCCGCGUGAAGGAUUAAGGUCCCCUGGAUUGUAAACUUCUUUUAUCUGGGACGAAAAAAGGCUAUUCUUAGUCACUUGACGGUACCAGAUGAAUAAGCACCGGCUAACUCCGUGCCAGCCGCCGCGGUAAGAC
rnacentral:rRNA from 1 species